GGUCUCGUGGUCUAGCGGUAUGAUACUCGCUUAGGGAGUUGUUCUCUGGAGCAGCUUGAAAACUCUAAGCCAAUUGCGAGUGGUCCCGGGUUCGAUUCCCGGCGAGACCC
rnacentral:tRNA from 1 species